UUGUAAAUUUGAUUAGGUUGACAUUAGGGACGUGUGCCGUCCUGGGUAUUCUCAUGGAAGUAUCUGGUCCAUUCAGUACAGUGGCUGUCAUGAAGCAUUUCUUCAAGCUCAGACACAGACUCAGCUGGCUCCAUGUGCAACUGCUGCUUGACACCGUGUAGUUGUUCUGUAACAGGCUCAUUUUUCCAAAUGCCAAACGUGAUCAGCUCACGCACAACUCCCUGCUAGUGUAGUCACAUUGCUGCCCUCUUCCUUUACCGUCUUUCCUUCUCACCGCCCACCACCUCCCGUUUCUCCUCCCACUCCAUGGACUGCCUGUAUAAAUAUGUGUCCUCUCAUGUGUUUUUUUUCUUGUGAAGAACAUUUCCUAUCACACCAAGUCUCCUGCAGUCUUUCUCGCUUUUACAAACAGAUAGAAACCAGAGAUGCCUGAGUCUGCAGACGUUCCUGCUCAGUGCCAAGUCCUCAAAGAAGACGUGGACAAAUGUGUCCAAGGGAAGGGUGCCGAGGCCUGUAAGGAACUGAUGGAAGCUUUCGAGGCCUGUGUGAAAAGCGCUGUGCAAACUUCAUGAGAAGAAAGCUUCAGGUUCAUGUCUAAGGUUCUCCUUCUUCGGGUCCUUCAGUACACCUGCAUUCCUACUGUUUUUUGGGUUUGACUGAACCAUUACAUCGACUGGCCAGGGGUGUUGGUACUGCCGAAUUCCUGGAUUUGCUUUGUCUGGAUCAGAGAUGCUACUGAUAUUAUUGUCAUAUGUCCAACGCAAAUGUAGCAUCAAGAGCCCACAGGAUUUAGAUCCAUUAUGUCAGAAGAAGUAUUUCUUUAUCUAAGAAAAAUGCAGUCAAUAUAAAUUAUUUUUUAAUAAAAUAUACUUUAAUUAU